CCUACGGGUGGCAGCAGUGGGGAAUUUUGCGCAAUGGGGGCAACCCUGACGCAGCAACGCCGCGUGAGUGAUGAAGGCCUUCGGGUCGUAAAGCUCUGUCAGAGGGGAAGAAAUGCAGGUGGUGAACAACCAUUCUGUUUGACGGUACCCUCAAAGGAAGCACCGGCUAACUCCGUGCCAGCAGCCGCGGUAAUACGGAGGGUGCAAGCGUUGUUCGGAAUUAUUGGGCGUAAAGCGCGUGUAGGCGGUUGGGCAAGUCAGAGGUGAAGGCCUUCCGCUCAACGGAAGACGUGCAUUUGAAACAACCGGGCUUGAGUUCGGGAGAGGAGAGUGGAAUUCCCGGUGUAGAGGUGAAAUUCGUAGAUAUCGGGAGGAACACCGGUGGCGAAGGCGACUCUCUGGCCCGAUACUGACGCUGAGACGCGAAAGCGUGGGGAGCAAACAGGAUUAGAUACCCCUGUAGU
rnacentral:rRNA from 1 species